GCGUCAUUGCCAACGACUGGGCGCACUUCAUGCAAGUAAUGAUGGAUGACCUGUACCAGCCGCAGUUCAGCCUAUACCACGGCGCAAAAAGGCUGAUAAUGUCAGCCCGAAAUCUGUCGAGGGACCGAUUGGAGUCCAUUUUUAAGCUACAGUGCAUGUCACAAUAUCUGAAGGCCAGGGUGUGCAGGCGGUGGGACAAACAGUGCAGGAAUAUUUAAAUUCCGCUGACAGCUACAGUAUCUGCGACGCAAAAGGGCUGGCGAUUGCGGAUACAUCAGAGACCAAAGAUUUGGAAUUUUGGAAAACAUCGAGCCGGAAGGUAUAUGCCAUCAGAACUGUAGACCUGGCCAAGCUCAAGAUGGGAAGACUUGAAAGUGCUUCC